rnacentral:lncRNA from 1 species
AUAUUGGCAUAUUUCCCAAUACAUGCAUCUUUGCGUUAGCUCGAUUUUUUCCAUUGAUUUAUUUUCAUGGAAUCCCUUCGUGUCUCCCAGCAAGUUUUAAGUCGUGGCCUGCUCACGCAUUUUAUCCCUUGUAUUCCCCAGUGAAGUCCCAGAGUCUCUGUCCCAUUUAUGAGUGUAUUACUCAUAUGGAUUUUUCAGUUUCUCCUGAUUUCUUUUCCUUUGUGGACAUAUAUCCCCACAGAGUAUUAAC